rnacentral:rRNA from 1 species
AACCUGCGGAGGAAUCAUUACCAAGUAAGGGCUCACCCCCGACCUCCAACCCUUUGUGAACCACACCUGUUGCUUCGGGGGCGGCCCUGCCGGCGAACUCGUCGCCGGGCGCCCCCGGAGGUCUCCUUAACACUGCAUCUCUACGUCGGAGUUCCAAACAAAUCGGACAAAACUUUCAACAACGGAUCUCUUGGUUCUGGCAUCGAUGAAGAACGCAGCGAAAUGCGAUAAGUAAUGUGAAUUGCAGAAUUCAGUGAAUCAUCGAAUCUUUGAACGCACAUUGCGCCCUUUGGUAUUCCGAAGGGCAUGCCUGUUCGAGCGUCAUUUCACCACUCAAGCCUAGCUUGGUAUUGGGCGCCGCGGUGCUCCGCGCGCCCCAAAGUCUCCCGGCUGAGCCGUCCGUCUCUAAGCGUUGUGGAUUUUUCAGUUCGCUCCGGAGUGCGGGUGGCCGCGGCCGUUAAAUCUUCAAAGGUUGACCUCGGAUCAGGUAGGGAUA